GAUCCCCGUCACAGGGAGACGACCCAGGCACGAACACACUCCAGAGGAGGACCUUGAGAGUCUUGCGCUCUUGCUCUUUGUGGCGUACCCUUGGGACAAGGUCUCCUACUGAAUCUACAGACAGACUGGCAGCCAUCAAACACCAGCCACCCAGCCCUCACCUCUAUGCCCACACAGGAGGAAGGUCAUAGACGGAAGUGAUCACCUGGAUUUCUAUGUGGAUGCCUGGGGGCUAGAACUCAGGUCCUCAUGCUUGUGUGGCAAUUGCCCUUUCCCUCCGGGCCAUCUCUCCAGCUCCUCUCCCUAGGUUUUGACUAUGAACCUGCCAAACUCACAGAAACCCUCCUCUGACAUCCACCUCAGGUCAGCCUGACCCCAGGCUACAGGGCUCUGCCAGUUCUUCUAGGGAUCGUGGAACCUGGAACUACUUGCUGCACCCGGAUACCUGCCUCCUGCCAUCCACCCUGCAGCCCCUGACCACACAGCCUCUAUUCCUGCCAAGCCACUAAUAUGGUCUUACAAAUUAGGAAUAUCAUAUGAGACUCCUGUAGCCAUGCUUAUGCCUUGUGAUAACAGGAAGUUACUCUGUUGGAGCUCUAAUGGUUCAGAUCUGAGUGUUGGCAAGGCCGUGCUUGCCAGAGCUUUGAGGGGAAGGUCUUUCUUUGUGCCGGAUGGUCUCAGAUGGUCACUGUUCCGUGUCUCCCAUCAGCCUUGCUGUAAUCUCUGUCUCUGUUUUUACUUUUAUUUUUAGAUAGGACCUCAGUAGGUAGCCCAAGUUAGGCUUAAACUUAUGAUCCUCCUGCCUCAGCCUUCCGAGUGUUGGGAUCCUAGGGCGGGUGCCACCACACCUGGCUGCCUCUGUCUUUAAAAAAAU